rnacentral:misc_RNA from 1 species
GAUGAAGAACGCAGCGAAAUGCGAUAAGUAAUGUGAAUUGCAGAAUUCAGUGAAUCAUCGAAUCUUUGAACGCACAUUGCGCCCGCCAGUAUUCUGGCGGGCAUGCCUGUUCGAGCGUCAUUACAACCCUCAGGCCCCCGGGCCUGGCGUUGGGGAUCGGCGGAAGCCCCCUGCGGGCACAACGCCGUCCCCCAAAUACAGUGGCGGUCCCGCCGCAGCUUCCAUUGCGUAGUAGCUAACACCUCGCAACUGGAGAGCGGCGCGGCCACGCCGUAAAACACCCUACUUCUGAAUGUUGACCUCGAAUCAGGUAGGAAUACCCGCUGAACUUAAGCAUAUCAAUAAGCGGAGGA